rnacentral:lncRNA from 1 species
GUCUUUGCCUGCUGCCAUCCACGUGAUAUGUGACUUGCUGCUCCUUGCCUUCUGCCAUAAUUGUGAGGCCUCCUCAGCCACACGGAAAUGCUUAUAGGCAUAAGAGACUUGCCUUGUCUCAGAUGAAACUUUGGACUGUGGACUUUUGAGUUAAUGCUGAUAUUAGGUGGUUAUGUUGAAGAUGUAAAUAUUCUCCCUGCUGUGAGUAUUACUGCAGCUGCCCAAAGAUGCUUUAUUUUAAAGAUGUGGAUACAGGAAGAUAAAAGCAUCAGAAACACUGCAUGGGACAAGAAGCUGAGUCUCAGAGAGAGAAAAUGACUCAUCCAAGCAAGGUUUGAGACCUAAGAAAGGUUGUGUAAGCAGAAGCUGGAAGACCCUUGAAAAGAGCAUUCAUUCAAGAAAUGAAGCAUGAGAUAGGAUGGAAGGAGGGAAGAAAGACAAGCAUAUGGCAUAUCAGGUCUCUUCCAGUGCUAAAGGCUGCCUAUGAUACUCAUCUGACCUGAUUUCUCCUGCACAGUGUUGCAACUGACGAGUAGCAGACUUGCCCUUGCCUGCAUUUGGGGGGAUGGCUGAGACUUUCCUUACAGAAAGCCCUACUUUCAGCAUGAACACUAACCCAGUUUAUUGGCUCAGGGUGUAGAGAGUUGCCUUGUCACUGGCGAAGUCAGAUGCAGCCAGUACCAGAGCUCUGCACUAGCUGUGAACACUAAGGAAGAAUAGCUGAGUGAGGAAGCAGAGUGCCAGGCAGCACAUCCUUCUUCAGGUGUUUCCUGCCCUGGGCCAGAUCCCAGGCACUGCAGCAAUAUCUCUGCAUGAUCUAGGGCUCCUGGAAAUAGCCCAUUAAGGGCAAAACUCGCUGCCCAGAAAACAUUAGAACAUUAAAAGAGCAGGGUCUCAUCUGAUUGUCUUGGUUUCCUGAGGCUCAUUCAGUCUGUGUCCACUGGUUUCAGUCUGAGUUCUCUGCACUUUGAGGAUGCAGACAGUGAAGUUCUCCCAUGGUUAUAGGGGGAGAGAUCAUAGGAAUGCUAUGGAAAGAGGCCUGAAGUCAGAGCCAGCUAGUGGUUAUUAUUUAUUAAUUGCCUGUGAGGUGCCAGGCGCACAUAUUAGACCAUAUGUGAUUGCAGUGAGCCACCCGGAUCCCCUUCAAGCUGCUGCUGCAGCUGAUGGAAGUCCUAUUGGCAGACAGCCUUCUCUCAUCAGCCCCUUCAGGACUUGCCUCAGUUGCAGAGAGCUGCCUUCCCCAAGAUCACACCCUUCCCUGGGGACUCACAACCAAUGGCUGAUCCAGAAGAAUCCAUAAAGCCCGUAUCAUUUCAGCCCAAUUUAGGACAGCUUUGUUGAGCCAUUAGACCUACAUGCAGCCCAACCUCUCCUUCUACCCACUUCUUCUUUCUUCCCUUUCCUUCCACGGUGUCUGUUCCAAGCACUUGCCUUAAUAAACAUGUAACAGGUUAAA